AACCGAGACCUAAUGGUGCUGUGACAGCAACGUGAUUGAGUUUGAGACAGUGAAAAUACAUAUGGUAUGUUGUAUCUGAACAGGUUAGCUUACGAACUAAAGUUACUUAGCACAGAUGAAAGUUAAAACAAAGACGUUUAGCAAACUGUUAAAGCACACAAACCAUCGUCAUAUGAGAGAUCCGACGCUAUGACUCUCCACAAGUUGUCCUUCAGGUCAUUAUCUUUGUAAUGUUUGUGUCUUUU
rnacentral:lncRNA from 1 species